rfam:Pseudomonas sp. 1 R 17 genome assembly PSEFL294_LIB5394, contig: PSEFL294_LIB5394_000060
AUAACAAGAAUAAAAAGCGCCAAAUCUAAUAAAAAUAAGACGAAACGACUCUGACAUAACAAAAACAACACGGCAGAGACGCAGCUAACAGAUUUUUUUGGAGAAGAUGUGCUUCGCAGGGUACGGCAUGCCGAAACCCGCAACCGGUUAGAGAAAAAUAAAACUACCUCAGGUAGCUACCCACUGGUUGGAUCGUUAACGAAGAAGCAGAUCAGCGCUCAAAAAAAUACGUUUGCUCUUGACCCCGGAUGGGGGUCGCCAAAAACAGCGGUAAAGGGUAACGGUUGCCAAAAACAACAAUAGACCGCCCCUCAAUAAUAAAAAAAGAGCACGCAACGACAAAUUAAAGGGGACCUUCGGGUCCCCUUUGUGCUUUCUGGCCUUUAACCCUGCCCUGCCCC